ensembl:miRNA
UCAGUAACAAGGAUUCAUCCUGUUGUUGUAUUCUGAACUAGCAGGGAAUCUCUGUUACUGGGG